rnacentral:rRNA from 1 species
UACGAAGGGGGCUAGCGUUGUUCGGAAUUACUGGGCGUAAAGCGCACGUAGGCGGCUUUGUAAGUUAGAGGUGAAAGCCCAGGGCUUAGCCCUGGAAUUGCCUUUAAGACUGCAUCGCUAGAAUUGUGGAGAGGUAAGUGGAAUUCCGAGUGUAGAGGUGAAAUUCGUAGAUAUUCGGAAGAACACCAGUGGCGAAGGCGACUUACUGGACACAUAUUGACGCUGAGGUGCGAAAGCGUGGGGAGCAAACAGG